AUAACUUGCUUGUGGUAGCCAAGCGUUCUUAGCGACGUUGCUUUUUAAUUCGCCAAGUGUUGGAUUGUUCAUCCACCAACAGGGAACGUGAGCUGGGUUUAGACCGUCGUGAGACAGGUU
rnacentral:ncRNA from 1 species